GGACCUCAGGGAGGAGAUGGCGUCGGGGAGGCUGCAGUGGGCAAUGCUGAGGUAGCUCAGGACGGGAUGGCAGUCAGGUGUGGUUUCAAAGGGAAAUGCUGAGGUACCUUGAGGAAUGGACCCUGGGCUGGGAACUAUGAACACAUCGGAUUGGUUCAGAGAGUGUUCAGGACAGAAAUUUGUGCAGUGAAGGAUUCCAGCAAAGAGAGGGAGAAGAGCCAAACUUAGAUCAGGCCUCCUAGGACGCCUGCAGGUUUGGGGACAGGGAUGACGAGGUUGUUAAUCCGGUCCUAACUGUUUCUUUCUCUGUCCCUCUCUUGCAGCACCUGACUGAAUGGAGGAGCCAGUGGACGGGAAGUUCCUGCGCCACACACAGAUCACAUUUAUUACUCUCGCCCUCAGAGACCCGGAGAUCCAAACCGUUCGCAUGGUGCCUUGAAGCAGCCUGUGCUCAUGCGCUUCUCCCAGGGAGAAGGCGGAAUGGCAGUGACUGGCCACGUUAAGCCACAGGGUGCACACUCUGCAGCUGUCAAGCCCAGCUCUGCAUCAGCUCACACCUGCGAUUUUGCGCCGCACACGCGGAUUUGAGUUGUCACUGGUUGUUGCAGCAUUUGGCUUUGGUGAGCAGCGUGCAAAGGAAAAGCAAGGAAGGAGGUGAACCUGUGAGGAAGAGUGAUGGAUAAAGAGGAUUGGAGCGCACCUGCCAGUCAAGAGGGAUCAAGAAAGAAGACACCGGUGGUGGAACCGCAGGUCAGGAGAGCUCAGGUUCAGAGCCCAAGCCUCAUUUGGUUGUAUCUGUAAACAUCAAACGUCUCAGCACGAAUCACAACUGCAUUUCUCACAGACAGAAGUGCCUGAACUCCACAGCUUGCCUGGCAGUGCAGAGAGCAGGAAGUGUGGUGAGUCCUGGGCCCUUGGGGACAUUUCACCCUGUUUUGUGUCCCAGUCCCUCCCUGCUCCCUCCUCUUUCCUACUGUGCCCUUCUUCCUCUUCAUCUCUUCUCCCUCUGUCCCUCUGCUGCUUCCUCACCUAUUCCUCCACCCUUCUGAAUCUCUGUGCAGGGUUUCUCGUAUCUCCCUCUCCAUCUCCACCACUCUGUGUUCUCACCAUCCCUGGUUUCUUUUUGUCGUCAUUCUUGUCUGUUGUUCUGUCCUGCUCCGUACCCCAUCAUUUCUCACGGUAUCCCUCUGUCCUGCUCCCUGCGCCUAUUCCUGCCCCUCUUCUUUUUUACUCCCUUUCCAUCUUGCUGCCCACCCCAGGAUUUUUUCCCAAUCUCUAUCGUACCCCCAACCCUUAUUGUUCUUUCUCUCUCCUGCUCCCUCUCUGUCUUUCUGCCUGUCUUCCCUUUCCCUGCUGCUUCUUUCUCCAUCUCUGUCCAGACUACUGCCCCUUUUCCUUCUUGAUGUCUUUCUGUCCCGUUUGUCUUUCUGUCUUCCUUGCCUGUUCCCAGCCCCAUCCCUUCUCACUAUAUCUCCCCUGUCCAGCUGGCUCUGUCUUUUCUUUAUCUUCUCUUCCUCUUGCCUGCUCCUCAGCCCUCUCUUCCUCUUCCUCCAGCUCAUUGCUGCAUGUUUUCCCUUUCCAGUCUCUUCAUUUUGAUCUGAACUUUGCUUUGCUUCUCAGUCCCUUUGUUCUGUUCUCUGCCUUUCUUUUUGUCUCUCCAUCUGUACAUCCCCCUCCCUGUCUUUCUCUACCCCCUUCCUGCUUCUCCUCCUCCCCACUCCCCAUCCCUCUGUCCUGCCCCUCAGCCCUGCUUUUUUUUCCUCCCUGUCCCAUCAUGGCUCCUUGUCCCUUUUUGCCUUGAUCUCUCCAUCUCUCCAUCCUUUUCCCUGUGUGUUUCUUUCUCUCUGGGCUCCUCUGUCUUCACUCUUGUCUCAUUGGUCUCUUUCUUGUCCUCUGUCCUUCUCCCCAGCAGCUUCAACUGAAUGACCAGGUGUCCGUGCACUCUGGUGUUUCCUCAUCCCUGCCCUGGGGAAGAUCUGUGUCUGUAGGGCUGGGGAUCAUUUAGGAGCUGGUGUCCUUGUGCAGACGGCAGAGCCAGGUGCAGUUGUGGCAGAGGUUGUUCUCAGCUGCUGCUUAUGCAGCUUGGUUAAAGAGCCAGCUGGGGGCUUCUUUGGAAGGGAGGUUUCUUGCUCUGUGCUUACUGCUCCUCAGCACCCUGCACAGGAGCGCUGUUGGGGACUGCAGGGACAGGUGGGACCUGCUGUGAUUCCUGGUGAAUGUGAACUCAACUUGUCCUGAUGGCCUCGAAUGAAACCAGACUGACUGUAGAUGGAUUUCUUCCCAGAUCCCGUUCCAACCUCCGUGCUCAGUGCUAAAGAACAAGAGACCUUAUUUUUUUUACUGCCACCAGAUUGUGGAAGUACAGUAUAAAAACCAUCCUUAUGGAGAGAUCGUCGUAUUUUAGGCUUAGUCUAAGUGUCUCAAGUAGCUGGGGUUUUUGCUUGGGCCUGAUCCAUAAGGUCUUAUGGCUUUCCUCCUCGUCUGAAGACGAAUGUGCUAGAAACUAUAAAGCAAAAAAAUGUCCUGCAGCCUAACCUUGCCUUGCCUGUCCUUGCCUGUCCUUUCCUGUCCUUGCCUUAUUUCCUUCUCAUCCUGUUCUCUGUCCCAUCCUCUCUCACUAACCCCUCAUCUGGCUGCAUGUCUCUUCUUUCCUCUCCUGUUUUCUCUCAUUGUGCUGCUUUCAAUUCUUCCAUUCCUGCAACCCGGUCUAAGUAGAUCGGCAGCAUUAAUAUUAUUUAAGUGUUUUUUUUUUUUUUUUUUUUUUUUUACUCUUAAAACUGCCAGCAGGUUCCAGGGAACUGCUGCUGAUGGAGCUUUCAAACAUUUAGACAUAUUCAUAUUCUGAAAGUACAGUAUAUAAACAUCCUCAUGGAGGGAUCUUUGCAUUUUAGGCUUAGUCUAAGUGUCUCAGGGAGGUGGGGUUUUUUUAGGCCUAAUCUAAAAGGUCUGAUGGCUUUCCUCCUUGUCUACAGAAGAAUGUGGUGUAAAUCACGAUAUCGAAAUAUCACAGUAUGUUUGGGAUUGGAAGUGACCUCAAAAGAUCAUCUAGUCCAAUCCCCCUGCUGGAGCAGGAAUCCCUAGGUGAGAUCGCACAGGAACUUGCGCACAGGAACCAGGCGGGUUUUGAAUGUCUCCAGAGAAGGAGACUCCACAACGCCCCUGGGCAGCCUGUUCCAGUGCUCUGUCACCCUCACUGAGAAGAAGUUUUCUCUCAAAUUUAAGUGGAACUUCUUGUGUUCCAGCUUGAUCCCAUCACCCCUUGUCAUAUCGUUGUUUGCCACCGAGAAGAGCCUGGCUCCAUCCUCAUGGCACUCACCCUUUAUAUAUUUAUAAACAUUAAUGAGGUUCCCCCCUUAGUCUCCUCUUCUCCAAACUAAAGAGACCCAGCUCCCUCAGCCUUUCUUCUUAAGGGAGGUGCUCCACUCCCUUAAUCAUCUUUGUUGCCCUACGCUUGGACCCUCUUCAGCAGUUCCCUGUCCUUCUGGAACUGAGGGGCCCAGAACUGGUCACAAUAUUCCAGAUGUGGUCUCACCAGGGCAGAGUAGAGGGGAAGGAGAACCUCUCUCGAUCUACUAACCACCCCCCUUGUAAUACACCCCAGGAUGCCAUUGGCCUUCCUGGCCACAGGGGCACAGUGCUGGCUCAUGGUCAUCCUGUUGUCCACCAGGACCCCCAGGUCCCUUUCCCCUACGUUGCUCUCUAAUAUGUAAUUUCCCAACCUAUACUGGAACCUGGGGUUGUUCCUGCCCAGAUACAGGACUCUACACUUUCCCUUGUUAAAUUUCAUUAGGUUAUUCCCUGCCCAACUCUCCAGCCUGUCCAGGUCUCUGGAUGGCAGCACAGCUUUCAGUGACACCACUCCUCCCAGCUUGGUGUCACCAGCAAACUUGCUGACAGUCACUCAAUUCCCCCAUCCAAAUCGUUAAUGAAUAUAUUGAAUAAUAUUGGCCCCAGUACUGACCCCUGAGGCACUGCACUAGAUACUGGCCUCCAACUAGACUCCGCACCAUUGACUACCACUCUCUGGCUUCUCUCCUUAAGCCAGUUUGCAACCCACCUCACUACUCUAUUGUCUAGACCACACCUCCUCAGCUUAGCUGUGAGGAUGCUGUGGGAGACUGUGUCAAAGGCUUUACUGAAGUCAAGGUAGACCACAUCCACCGCUGUGCCAUCAUCCAUCCACCUUGUUACAUUCUCAUAAAAGGCUAUGAGGUUGGUCAAGCAUGACUUACCCUUGGCAAAGCCAUGCUGACUGCCCCUAAUAACCCUCUUAUCCUUGAUAUGUCUUGAGAUGGCACCAAGGAUAAGCUGUUCCAUUACUUUCCCAGGGACAGAGGUGAGGCUGACCGGUCUAUAAUUACCCGGGUCCUCCUCCUUGCCCUUUUUGAAGACUGGAGUGACAUUUGCUUUCCUCCAAUCCUCGGGCACCUCCCCCGUUUCCCAAUACUUGGCAAAGAUGAUGGAGAGCGGUCCAGCAAUGACUUCAGCUAGCUUCCUCAGCACCCGCGGGUGCAUCCCAUCUGGACCCAUUGAUUUAUGGAUGUCCAGACUAUUUAAUUGCUUCCUAACCCAGUCCUCAUCGACUAAAGCAAACUCCUCCAUUGACCUGGCUUCAUCUGGGGUCUCAGGGGUACAGGGCUACCCAAGACAGCCCCCAGCAGAGUAGACAGAGACAAAGAAGGCAUUCAGUAAUUCUGCCUUCUCUGUAUCUUCUGCCACCAGGGCACCCACCCCAUUCCUCAGUGGGCCUAUGUUGCCUCUGGUAUUAGUUUUAUCUGCUAUGUAUUUGAAAAAGUUCUUUUUGCUGUCCUUGACCCCUCUUGCCAGCUGUAAUUCUAAGGAGGCCUUGGCUAUCCCAGCUGCCUUCCUACAUCCUCUAACAGCAGCCUUAUAUUCCUCCCAAGUGGCCAGCCCCUGAUUCCAUGACCUGUAAACUCUCCUCUUCUGCUUGAGCAUACCCAACAGACCCCUAUUCAACCACACAGGCCUCCUGGCUCCCUUCCUUGACUUCCUACAUGUGGGGAUGCUCUAAUCUUGAGUGUGGAAGAAGCAAUCUCUGAAUGCAAUCCAGCUAUCUUGGGCCCCUUUACCACAAACCCCCAUGGACAGCGAGUGUGUCACAAACCCAAUUGGAGGGCGUGCGUGCCACAAACCCUAUUGGACACUGUGUGUGUCACAAACCCAUUGGACAGCGUAUGUGUCACAAAACCCCCUGGACAGUGUGUGUCGUAAACCCCAUGGGAGAGCAUGUGUCUCUCAAACCCUUUGGACAGCGUGUGUUUGUCACAAACCCUAUUCCACAGCGUCUGUGUCUCAAAACCCAUUGGGCAGCUUGUGUGUGUCACAAACCCAUUGGACAGUGUGUGUGUCACAAAAUCCCCUGGACAGCAUGUGUGUCACAAACCCCAUUGGACAGCUUGUGUGUCACAAACCCCAUUGGACAGUGUGUGUGUCAAAAGCUGCAAUGGACAGUGUGUGUGUAACAGUCCCCAUCAGACAGUGUGUGUGUCUCAAACCCCUCUGGACAGCGUGUGUGUCACAAACCCAUUGGACAGCGUGUGUGUCAGAAACCCCCCUAGAGUGUGUGUUUGUCACAAACCCCAUUGGAGAGUGUGUGUGUCACAAACUCCCCUGGACAGCAUGUGUGUCACAAACCCCAUUGGACAGUGUGUGUGUCUCAAACCAAAUUGGACUACGUGUGUGUCACAAACCCCAUUGGACAGUGUGUGUGUCUCAAACCAAAUUGGACAGCGUGUGUGCCACAAAUCCCAUUGGAGAUCGUGUGUGUGACAAACCCCAUUGAACAGCGUGUCUGUGUCACAAAACCCAUUGGACACUGCGUGUGUGUCACAAACCCAUUGGAUAGUGUCUGUGUCACAAACCCCCCUGAACAGCAUCUGUGUACAAACCCCAUUAAAGAGCGUGUGUGUCUCAAAAACCUUCAGACAGUGUGUGUAUCAAACGCCUUUGGGCAGUGUGCGUGUCAAAACCCCAUUGGACAGCGUGUGUGUCUCAAACCAAAUUGGACAGCGUGUGUGUCACAAACCCCAUUGUACACUGUGUGUGUCACAAAUACCAUUGGACAGUUUGUUUGUCACAAACCCCAUCGGGCAGCGUGUGUGUCACAAACCCCAUUGGAUACUGUGUGUGUCACAAAACCAUCUGGACAGUGUGUGUGUCACACAUCCCCAUAGACAGUGGGUGAUUCACAAACCCCAUUGCUCAGUGUUUGUGUCACAAAACCCAUUGGACAGUGUGUGUGUCACAAACACCAUUGGACAGUGUGUGCGUGUCACAAACCUCAUUUCUCAGCGUUUGUGUCUCAAACCCCAUUGGACAGUGUGUGUGUCACAAACCCCUCUAAACAGUUUGCGUGUCUCAAACGCCAUUGGACAGCGUGUGUGUCACAAACCCACCGGACAGUGUGUGUAUCACCAACCGCAUUGGACAGUGUGUGUGUCACAAAAGCCAUUGGACAGCGUGUGUGUGUCACAAACCCCAUUGGACAGCGUGAAUGUCUCAAACCCAUUGGACAGCGUGUGUGUCUCAAACCCCGUUGGUCAGUGUGUGUGUCACAACCACCAUUUCUCAGCGUGUGAAUAACAAACCACAUUUAACAGCGUGUGUGUGUCAUAAACCCCAUUGGACAGUGUGUCUGUCUCAAACACCAUUGGACAAUGUGUGUGUCACAAACCCCAUUGGAAAGCGAUUCUGUGUCAAGAACCCCAUUGGACAGUGUCUGUGUCUCAAACACCAUUGGACAGUGUGCGUGUCAAAAACGCCAUUAGACAGUGUGUGUGUCACGAACCCCUCUGGAUAGUCUCUGUGUCACAAACCCCAUUGGACAGCACUUCUGUCAUACAUCCCAUUGGACAGUGUGUGUUUUUCAAACCCUUCUGGACAGUGUGUGUGUCAAAAACGCCAUUGGACAGCGUGUGUGUCACACACUCCUCUGGAUAGUCUCUGUGUUACAAACCCCUUUGGACAGUGUGUGUUUCACAAACCCCAUUGGACAGCACGUGUGCAACAAAUCCCCCUGGAUAGUGUGUGUGUCACAAACCCCGUCGCACAGCGUGUGUGUCACAAAUCCCUUUGGACAGCGUGUGUGUCACAAACCCCCUGGACAGUGGGUAUUUCACAAACCCCAUUGAAGAGUGUGUGUGUCACAAAACCCCGUGUACAGUGUCUGUGUGUCACAAACCCCUCUGGACAGUUUCUGUGUCACAAAGCCCUUUGGACAGUAUGAGUGUCACAAACCCCAUUGGACAGUGUGUGUGCAACAAACUCCCCGGACAGUGUGUGUGUGUCACAAACCCCAUUGGACAGCGUGUGUGUCACAAACCCCAUUGGACAGCGUGUGUUUGUCACAAACCCCAUUGGACAGUGUGUGUGUCACAAACGCCAUUGGAGAGCUUGUGUGUCAUAAACCCCUCUAGACAGUCAGUGUGUCACAAACCCCAUUUCUCAACGUGUGUGUAACAAAACACAUUUAGUAGCGUGUGUCUCACAGACCCCAUCGGACAGCAUAUGUGUCUCAAACCCCAUUGGACAGCGUGUGUGUCACAAACCCCAUUGGACAGCGUGCGCGUCAGAAACACCAUUGUACAGUGUGUAUGUCACAAACCUCAUUGGACACUGGGCGUGUCACAAACCCCCUGGACAGUGUGUUUUUCACAGACCCCAUAGGACAGCCUGUGUGUCACAAACCCCAUUGGACAGCGUGUGUGUCACAAACACCAUUGGACAGUGUGUAUGUCACAAACCCCUGUGGACACACCAUGUGUCACACACCCCAUUGGACAGUGUGUGUGUCACAAACCCCCCUGGACUGCAUGUGUGUUCACAAACCCCAUUUGAUAGCGUGUGUGUGUGACAAACCCCAUUGGACAGUGUGUGAUUCCCAAACCCCACUGGACAGUGUGUGUGUCAAAACCCUCCUGGUCAGCGUGUGUGUCACAACCCCCAUUGGACAGUGUGUGUGUUACAAACCCCAUUGGACAGCGUGUGUCUCGCUAACCCCAUUGGACAGAUUGUCUUUCACAAACCCCCUGGACAGCGUGUGUGUCAUAAAACCCGUUGGUAAGCGUGUGUGUCAGAAACCCCCCUGGACACUGCGUGUGUCUCAUACCCCGUUGGACAGUGUGUGUGUCACAAACCCCAUUGGACAGUCUGUGUGUCACAAACCCCAUUGUACACCGUGUGUGUCACAAACCCCAUUGGACAUUGUGUGCGUCAGAAACCCCAUUGGACAGCCUCUGUGUCACAAACCCAUUCGAUAGUGUGUGUGUCUCAAACCCCAUUGGACAUUUUUGUGUCACAAACCCUGUUGGACAGCGUGUGUGUCACAAACCCCUUUGGACAUUGUUUGUGUCACAAACCCCCUGGACAGUGUGUGUGUCACAAACCCCAUUGGACAGCGUGUGUGUCACAAACCCCAUUGGACAUUAUGUUUUUCACAAACCCCCUGGACAGUGUGUGUGUUACAAACCCCAUUGGACAGUGUGUGUGUCCAAACCCCAUUUGACAAUGUGUGUUUCACAAACCCCAUUAUACAGUGUGUGUGUCACAAUCCCCUUUGGACAGUGUGUGUGUCAACCCCCCCCUGGAGAAUUGUGUGUCACAAAUCCCAUUGGACAGCAUGUGUGUCACAAACCCCAUUGGACAUUGUGUGUGUCUCCAACCCUAUUGGACAGUGUGUGUGUUAGAAACCGCAUUGGACAUUUUUGUGUCACAAACCCCCUGGACAGUGUGUGUGUCACAAAACCUAUUGGACAGCGUGUGUGUCACAAACCCCACUGGACAGUGUGCGUGUCACAAAACCUAUUGGACAGCGUGUGUGUCACAAACCCCAUUGGACAGUGUGUGUGUCUCAAAUCCCAUUGUACAGCGUGUGUGUCCAAGCCCCAUUGGACAACCUGUGUGUCACAGAACCCAUUGGACAGCGUGUGUGUCACAAACCCCACUGGACACUGCGUGUUUCUCAAACCCCAUUGGACAGUGUGUGUGUCACAAACCCCCCUGGACUACGUGUGUGUCAUUAACCCCAUGGGGCAGUGUGUGUGUCAAAAACACCUCUGGACAUCGUGUGUGUCUCAAACCCCAUUGUACAGCAUGUUUUUCACAAAGCCCAUUGGACAGCGUAUGUUUCACAAAUCCCCAUUGAACAUUGUGUGUGUCACAAACCCCCUGGACAGUGUGUGUGUCACAAAUCCCUUUUUAGAGCGUUUGUGUCACAAAUCCCAUUGGACAGUGUGUGUGUCACAAACACCCAUAGGCAGUGUGUGUGUCACAAACCCCAUUGGACACUGGGUGUGUCACAAACACCCCUGGACAGAGUGUGUAUCAGAAACCCAGUUGGACAGUGUGUGUGUCACAAAAGCAAUUGGACACUGCGUGUGUUGCAAACACCCCUGGACUGUGUGUGCGUGUCACAAAAACCACUGGACAGCGUGUGUGUCACAAACCCCAUUGGACAUUGUGUGCAUCACAAACCCCAUUGGCAGCCUCUGUGUCACAAAACCCAUUCGAUAGUUUGUGUGUCACAAACCCCACUGGACAGUGUGUGUUAGAAACCCCAUUGGACAUUUUUGCAUCACAAAGCCCGUUGUACAGUGUGCGUCACAAACCCCCUGGACAGUGUGUGUCAUAAAACCUAUUGGACAGCGUGUGUGUCACAAAC